rnacentral:rRNA from 1 species
UACGAAGGGUGCAAGCGUUACUCGGAAUUACUGGGCGUAAAGCGUGCGUAGGUGGUUUGUUAAGUCUGAUGUGAAAGCCCUGGGCUCAACCUGGGAAUUGCAUUGGAUACUGGCAGGCUAGAGUGCGGUAGAGGAUGGCGGAAUUCCCGGUGUAGCAGUGAAAUGCGUAGAGAUCGGGAGGAACACCGGUGGCGAAGGCGGCCCCCUGGACCGGUACUGACGCUGAGGCGCGAAAGCGUGGGUAGCAAACGGG